rnacentral:lncRNA from 1 species
CAGAUGUGUUGAGGUAGUUUCUCUCUCUUGGCUGAUAUGGGAAUGUGGCCAAGAGUCCAGGCUCUGGGACAGACAAAAUGGGUUCCACUCUGCCACUUUAGAAUUGCUGGACUUUCAGCAAGUCAUCCCUAUAUCUGUACUGCAGCUUCUUUCUUGGCCCCAGGUCAGUAACAGAAUAUGUGGGAAGUCUUUAAAAAUACCAGUGAGAGCAUUUGAAAGAGCACAACUGAAAACCACUACUUUUCACACCGGGCUUCAUUCAGAGUUCAAGGCUGUACAUUUUUCUCCCACACAAAUUCAACAGAACAAGAAAUCACAAGAAUUGAGUGUUUUCCAAGUCUGAACUAGGGAGUAUGAACUUCAGAAACAAG